rnacentral:rRNA from 1 species
GGAUCCAGCUUUGAUUAUGGCUCAGGACGAACGCUGGCGGCGCGCCUAACACAUGCAAGUCGAACGAGCAAAGAGGAGCUUGCUUCUCUGAGCGAGUGGCGAACGGGUGAGUAACGCGUGAGGAACCUGCCUCAAAGAGGGGGACAACAGUUGGAAACGACUGCUAAUACCGCAUAAGCCCACGGGUCGGCAUCGACCAGAGGGAAAAGGAGCAAUCCGCUUUGAGAUGGCCUCGCGUCCGAUUAGCUAGUUGGUGAGGUAAUGGCCCACCAAGGCGACGAUCGGUAGCCGGACUGAGAGGUUGAACGGCCACAUUGGGACUGAGACACGGCCCAGACUCCUACGGGAGGCAGCAGUGGGGAAUAUUGCACAAUGGGGGAAACCCUGAUGCAGCGACGCCGCGUGGAGGAAGAAGGUCUUCGGAUUGUAAACUCCUGUUGUUGAGGAAGAUAAUGACGGUACUCAACAAGGAAGUGACGGCUAACUACGUGCCAGCAGCCGCGGUAAAACGUAGGUCACAAGCGUUGUCCGGAAUUACUGGGUGUAAAGGGAGCGCAGGCGGGAAGACAAGUUGGAAGUGAAAUCCAUGGGCUCAACCCAUGAACUGCUUUCAAAACUGUUUUUCUUGAGUAGUGCAGAGGUAGGCGGAAUUCCCGGUGUAGCGGUGGAAUGCGUAGAUAUCGGGAGGAACACCAGUGGCGAAGGCGGCCUACUGGGCACCAACUGACGCUGAGGCUCGAAAGUGUGGGUAGCAAACAGGAUUAGAUACCCUGGUAGUCCACACCGUAAACGAUGAUUACUAGGUGUUGGAGGAUUGACCCCUUCAGUGCCGCAGUUAACACAAUAAGUAAUCCACCUGGGGAGUACGACCGCAAGGUUGCAACUCAAAGGAAUUGACGG